rnacentral:rRNA from 1 species
UCGGGAAUUUUGGGCAAUGGGCGAAAGCCUGACCCAGCAACGCCGCGUGAAGGAUGAAGUAUUUCGGUAUGUAAACUUCGAAAGAAUAGGAAGAAUAAAUGACGGUACUAUUUAUAAGGUCCGGCUAACUACGUGCCAGCAGCCGCGGUAAUACGUAGGGACCAAGCGUUGUUCGGAUUUACUGGGCGUAAAGGGCGCGUAGGCGGCAAUUCAAGUCAUCUGUGAAAUCUCCGGGCUUAACUCGGAACGGUCAGAUGAUACUGCUUUGCUAGAGUGCAGAAGGGGCAAUCGGAAUUCUUGGUGUAGCGGUGAAAUGCGUAGAUAUCAAGAGGAACACCUGAGGUGAAGGCGGGUUGCUGGGCUGACACUGACGCUGAGGCGCGAAAGCCAGGGGAGCAAACGGGAUUAGAUACCCAUGUAGUCCCUGAGCGGGCUGGCAAGGCGCAU